CGAGUGGCGAACGGGUGAGUAACACGUGGGUGAUCUGCCCUGCACUCUGGGAUAAGCCUGGGAAACUGGGUCUAAUACCGGAUAGGACCAUGCUUUAGUGUGUGUGGUGGAAAGUUUUUCGGUGUAGGAUGAGCCCGCGGCCUAUCAGCUUGUUGGUGGGGUGAUGGCCUACCAAGGCGGCGACGGGUAGCCGGACUGAGAGGUUGGUCGGCCACAUUGGGACUGAGAUACGGCCCAG
rnacentral:rRNA from 1 species